UGGGGAAUAUUGCACAAUGGACGGAAGUCUGAUGCAGCGACGCCGCGUGGGGGAUGAAGGCUUUCGGGUUGUAAACUCCUUUCAGUACAGAAGAAGCUUUAUUGUGACGGUAUGUGCAGAAGAAGCGCCGGCUAACUACGUGCCAGCAGCCGCGGUAAUACGUAGGGCGCGAGCGUUGUCCGGAAUUAUUGGGCGUAAAGAGCUCGUAGGCGGUUUGUCGCGUCUGCUGUGAAAGACCGGGGCUUAACUCCGGGGCUGCAGUGGGUACGGGCAGGCUGGAGUGCGGGAGGGGUAACCGGAAUUCCUGGUGUAGCGGUGGAAUGCGCAGAUAUCAGGAGGAACACCGAUGGCGAAGGCAGGUUACUGGGCCGUUACUGACGCUGAGGAGCGAAAGCAUGGGGAGCGAACAGG
rnacentral:rRNA from 1 species